UAGGCCGUAAGCUGUAAAAUUUUGACCAUGCGCCGUCUUACCGCCCCUGCUCUGAGCACUCCGUGCGUUCGCUCCAUCUGCGGGGCAGCGCCUGUGAUGUACUUUCCUCCCGUGCCGUUUGCGUCCGUCUCCAAGGAGGAGCAGAUCAAGAAGAACACCAAGAUCGCGAUCGAGAUGAUCAGGCGCUACAAGGGUGAGGCGCCUGCGUCCUACACGCGCAAGCACACCGCCACCAUAGAGCAACUCGAGAAAGAGAUUGAGGCGCUUCUGGGCGGCGCACAGAAGAUGCGCAAGGCCACCACGGAUGAUCAGCCAAUGGACAAGCUGGCACUGAUGGAGCGCUGCCUCCGCCAUGCUCUCUGGUCGUACCACAAAGACGAUGGCAAGUAUGAUUUUGAUGAGAUUGCGAGGUGGGUUGUUUACACCCCCGAGGACGAGGUGAAGCUCGCACAGAUGAAGCGCCAGGUGGAGGCCAAGUCGAAGCUGGCGGCGUAUCGUGCCAAGCGUGCCGAGCAGGGUCUGCCCGAAGCCCCCGUUCCGCAGAUCAACUGGGGGGAAGAGUACAACAACGUGACGGACCGCGAGCUGGUGAACGAGAAGCGGAUUCGCUACGAUACGAUUGCCGCCAACACCAUGGAGCGUGACGAGGCCCAGAUCGAGGCCGUGCUGCAGCAAUACCGCAAGCCGGUGCAAGAUAAGCGCCUUGACGACCUUGUUGAUCUUCUCGAGCGCUUCAAGCCGGUGCUCGCUCGCGAGGCCAUUAUGCAGCGCCUCACCAUCAAGCACUUGGAGGGUCAGCUGGGCGUGUGGCGCUACAUGGACUGGUGCCCUGAGGUGCGUGAUCGCGCCGAGCUCGAGGUGGAUGUCUCCGGCUUCCAGUGGUGGUCUCCGCUGGAGGAGCGCCGCCUUUUGCCGGUGCGGCUGCGCUCUGUGAACGAGGUGCGUGAAAUUAUGGCUCAGACCCAGUCCUCGAAGGCCGCUGAGGCAUCGGCUCACAGUCCACAGGCGUCUCAGUCUGCCGGUGACGGUGACCGCGAGCGGCUUCUGAAGGAGGUGCUGGCUUUGCAGGCCCGAAUUCACCAGCGCGAUGAUGCUCCGGUAGAGGAAAAUAAGGCUGCUCACUAAGAGGGGUGUCGCGCUGAUUCCCGCUGCUGCAGUACGAAAAGCGUGCGAAGAUGAACCGAUACGUGACUUCUCACCUUCAUCGUUGUCGCUCAUCUCUGCCCUUGUCGGUUCACCAGUUCUUCGCGUUUGCUGAUAGCAGCGGCGUCUGUCUCAUUCCCUUCUUUCUUUUGGUUCUCGACAUUCUCCUCGCGUAGCGUCUUUACACAGCUUAGGAAGUGCCGGGGUGGGCACGUGUAUGUGUGCGUAAGGAGGUGAGUGAUGUCACACACACACACACACAUAUAUAUAUAUAUAUAUAUAUAUAUAUAUAUAUAUGCACGCACCAUCUAAGGCACCGCGAACAGAAGAAGAAGGGGGGGGGCCUCCCUCGCUUUUCUUUUCUGGUUCGUUCCUUCUCUCUUUUUUUUUCGAGUUAGCACAAAGUGAUUACUUUUUAUAUGAAGUUGAUUAACACAUGUAGCACCGGC
rnacentral:misc_RNA from 1 species